UACGGAGGGGGCUAGCGUUGUUCGGAAUUACUGGGCGUAAAGCGCACGUAGGCGGCUUUGUAAGUUAGAGGUGAAAGCCCGGAGCUUAACUCCGGAACUGCAUUCGAUACUGCCGUGCUUGAGGACUGGAGAGGAGACUGGAAUUUACGGUGUAGCGGUGAAAUGCGUAGAUAUCGUAAGGAAGACCAGUGGCGAAGGCGGGUCUCUGGACAGUUCCUGACGCUGAGGCACGAAGGCCAGGGGAGCAAACGGG
rnacentral:rRNA from 1 species